rnacentral:lncRNA from 11 species
AUGCCACGUUUCUCCCUCUCUGUAUCAACGCAGGUCUUACUUGCUGCAGAGUCUUUCCGAAGAAGGCUCAGCCGAGAACAAGCCGACGGAAGAGAAACUCCAAGGCUACGCCGCCGUCCUGGCCAUUGGCUCCGGGCGCUGCAAGGCCAACACUUUGGGGCCGACCCUCGUCCAGAACCUGCCGUCCGCGGUGCAGGCCUUGUGCGAGUUGUGGAAUGGCAUCCACACCAACGAGUUCCCAAACAUUGGCUCCUGGGUGAGUAUAUUUCAAAAACCAUUGUUCCCUGGCCCCUUGGUGCCAACGUACCUGGCCAAAAGGGGAUGCCACCAAAUCAGUGGAUUUCUAUCCCUUCUUCUUCUCGCCCACCGCAGCGCAACGCCUUUGCCAACGACACCAUCCCGGCGGAGAGCUACAUCGGGGCCGUGCAGGCCGCCCACCUGGGGACCCUCUGCAGCCAGAGCCUGCCCUUGGCCGCCUCCCUCAAGCGCAGCCUCCUCUCCUUGGUCCGCCUCACCGGGGACCUCGUCGUCUGGUCGGACGAGCUGAACGCUCCGCAGGUGAUCCGGACGCUGCUCCCGCUCCUCCUGGAGUCCAGCACCGAGAGCGUGGCCGAGAUCAGCAGCAACUCCCUGGAGAGGAUCCUGGGCCCGGCCGAGUCGGACGAGUUCCUCUCCCGCCUCUACGAGAAGCUGAUCAUGGGCUGCUACAACAUCCUGGCCAACCACGCCGACCCUAACAGUGGCCUGGACGAAUCCAUCUUGGAAGAAUGCCUGCAGCACCUGGAGAAGCAGCUGGAAAGCCCCCAGGCCCGGAAGUCCAUGGAGGAGUUUUUCUCCGAGAGGUGAGUUCUCCCUCCGAUCACGUUCUGGCUUUCUGGAAGUACAGGGGGGCUUUGUGUUUUCCGGGCUGUAUGGCUGUGUUGUAGCAGCAUUUCCCCCUUUUUAUUGACUCCCAAAAAUCCACUUCACUCAGACCUGUUGUCAGCACCAUCGGCUUCCUUAUAUACGAUUUGGCAAAAUUUCUGACUGCACACCUACGGACAAGUAUUGGAGUUACUACACAUUACAUUAAGACCUCAGCCCACGUCGUAGAAAAAAUCAGCCAUAGCAAACUUACCAGUAUUGAGGUGGUUUCCCAAUUCACCAGGGUUCCCAUAGCAGACAUAGCAGACACUUUAAUGGGGAUUUCCCAAAAGAUAUCACAGCCCUGUUUCAUCAUUGCCUCACUAUUUAAUGCUUCUGUGAUAUUAUGGUGACAGUUACUCUACUUAUAAGUCCAGUCGUGUCUGACUCUGGGGGUUGGUGCUCAUCUCCAUUUCUAAGCCAAAGAACCGGCGUUGUCCGUAGAUACCUCCAAGGUCAUGUGGCCAUAGGCAUGAUUGCAUGGAGCGCCGUUACCUUCCCGCCAGAGCAGUACCUAUUGAUCUACUCACACUCUGGGGGUUGCUGCUCAUCUCCAUUUCUAAGCCAAAGAACCGGCGUUGUCCGUAGACACCUCCAAGGUCAUGUGGCCACUGGCAGGACUGCAUGGAGCACCGUUACUUUCCUGUCGAAAUGGUACCUAUUGAUCUACUCACAUUUGAAUAUUUCUGAACUGCUAGGUUGGCAAAAACUGGGGCUAACAGCAGGAGCUCAUCCCGCUCGCCAGAUUCAAACCGCCGACCUUUCGGUCAGCAAGUUCAGCAGCUCAGAAGUUUUACCUACUGCACCAGCGGGGCCUCCAUCUCUACUAAUACAAUCUAAUAAUAAUAACAACUACAACAAUAGUCGUAGACACUUGGCAAGUGUCUGGCGUGUGAUUCAAUACAAUAGCCAUCAGAGUGUCUGCUGUGGACUCAUCUUGUUGUGCUUCAAAUCAUCAUCAUCAUCAUCAUCAUCACACAUAAUAAUAAUAAUAAUAAUAAUAAUAAUAAUAAUAAUAAUACAUCACACAGUCCUAAACGCUUAGGAAGUGUUUGACUUGUGAUUUUGUGAUACGAAAUCCAGCAUGUCUAUCUUGUUUGCUGUGUCAUACUAUGUCGUUGUGUCAAUAAUAAUAAUAAUAAUAAUAAUUAUUAUUAUUAUUAUUAUAC